GAUGAAGAACGUAGCGAAAUGCGAUAAGUAGUGUGAAUUGCAGAAUUCAGUGAAUCAUCGAAUCUUUGAACGCACAUUGCGCCCUUUGGUAUUCCAAAGGGCAUGCCUGUUCGAGCGUCAUUUGUACCCUCAAGCUUUGCUUGGUGUUGGGCGUCUUGUCUCUAGCUUUGCUGGAGACUCGCCUUAAAGUAAUUGGCAGCCGGCCUACUGGUUUCGGAGCGCAGCACAAGUCGCACUCUCUAUCAGCAAAGGUCUAGCAUCCAUUAAGCCUUUUUUUCAACUUUUGACCUCGGAUCAGGUAGGGAUACCCGCUGAACUUAAGAAUAUCAAUAAGCGGAGGA
rnacentral:misc_RNA from 1 species